AGACAUCAGCUGUAUUUUGUUCCAAAGUAACCCCCUGUGAACACGAGGGUUUACAAAGCACCUGGGGGUACAUGUUGACAGCAAACAGCUGCAUGGGACUACUGAGGUGCUCCAACUGUUUGCUAUGGCUUUUAUUUCAAAGAACAUCACUCCACUGAUAAGCUGUGCUGGACUGCUGACUAACUCCAGCUGACUGGAGAAGCGGUACCUUUUGAAGUAAAAGCUCCAGUAAAUAGUUGAAUGUUUGAAAAAUUCUUAGUUCAGCAACUUUUUGCAAAGUAAAGUUUGCAAACCACACAGAUACGAAUAACCCAGGUUCUACUUCUGUCUGCUUGCAUGAUAGAGGCCUUAACUGAAAUUAGUAAGGCUACUCAUAUGCUUUAAGUGACGAACAUCCUGGGUUGCAAGACCAGGACCCAGUGCUUGAUAUGAAGAACAACAGCUAUACUGAAUACCCUUCAACUGGCAUAAAUUCAAUGGAUUCUGAAGAGUGCCAUUCUUUGUUGGAUGCUUAGCGACUUGCAGAUAAUGCUAGAGUCUUUCAUUAAGGUUAAGAACGUCCUUGUGGCAUAAUGGUUCUAAGUUUUAGAGAACUCUGCUAAUUGUAUAUUCUUUAACAAGUGACAUCUUCAAUAAAUGAGGACAUAGAGCACCCUUGCAAGAUCAGUAUCUAAGGCAAAAAGCCUGUAGUUGAAUUUGCAUAAGCAAACUCUUGUUACUUCACACACACUGCACUAAGGUCUCAUCUUCUUUAAGUUACAACUCAAGUACUGCCCUAUCCUUAAUUUUAAUCCACAUAUGGAAAGGCUUUAACUCAAACAGGCAAGUUCAGAGGUG